rnacentral:rRNA from 1 species
ACUCAAAUGAAUAGACGGGGGCCUGCACAAGCGGUGGAGUAUGUGGCUCAAUUCGAUGCAACGCGAAGAACCUUACCUGGCCUUGACAUGUACGUAGUAGAAGGGUGAAAGCCUGACGAGGUAGCAAUACCAGCGUACACAGGUGCUGCAUGGCUGUCGUCAGCUCGUGUCGUGAGAUGUUGGGUUAAGUCCCGCAACGAGCGCAACCCUUGUGUCCUGUUGCCACUCCCGAGUAAUCGGGAAGCACUCUGGACAGACUGCCUCGCUUAAACGAGGAGGAAGGUGGGGAUGACGUCAAGUCAGUAUGGCCCUUACGGCCAGGGCUGCACACGUACUACAAUGCCCGGCACAAAGGGAAGCAAGACCGCAAGGUGGAGCAAAUCCCCAAAAACCGGGCCCAGUUCAGAUUGUCGUCUGCAACUCGACGACAUGAAGUUGGAAUCGCUAGUAAUGGCGCAUCAGCUACGGCGCCGUGAAUACGUUCCCAGGCCUUGUACACACCGCCCGU